CAGGAUGUCCAAAACAGCCUUAUGGCUCGCGUAAUCGAUUACAAGCCUCUUGUAAACGAUUACAAGAGUGCUUUUUGUGGCAGAGUACACUAAAACUCACCAAGGUUCAGUUUAAAACCCUGGGUGGGACCCCUCUACAUCAUGGGGUGUCCCAACCACCAACAUGAAACCCUACACUCACAUUUGCACCAAAAACAAGUCAAGUUGUCUUCAAAAACACCCAAAAAUGACCAGUGCUCCCCCACGUUGCCACAGGUGGCUCCUUCAGUUCAACAGAAUGUCCAAAAUAGCAUUAUGGCUCGCGUAAUCGAUUACAAGCCUCUUGUAAACGAUUACAA
rnacentral:lncRNA from 1 species